GCUGAGAUAGCUCGGUCGGUAGAACAUGAGACUCUUAAUCUCAGGGUUGUGGGAUUGAGGCCCACAUUGAGCA